UGGGGAAUAUUGCACAAUGGGCGGAAGCCUGAUGCAGUGACGCCGCGUGGGGGAUGAAGGCCUUCGGGUUGUAAACUCCUUUCGACAGGGACGAAGAUUUUGUGACGGUACCUGUAUAAGAAGCACCGGCUAACUACGUGCCAGCAGCCGCGGUAAUACGUAGGGUGCGAGCGUUGUCCGGAAUUACUGGGCGUAAAGAGCGCGUAGGUGGUUUGUCGCGUCGUCUGUGAAAUUCCGGGGCUUAACUCCGGGCGUGCAGGCGAUACGGGCUGACUUGAGUGCUGUAGGGGAGACUGGAAUUCCUGGUGUAGCGGUGAAAUGCGCAGAUAUCAGGAGGAACACCGAUGGCGAAGGCAGGUCUCUGGGCAGUAACUGACGCUGAGGAGCGAAAGCAUGGGUAGCGAACAGG
rnacentral:rRNA from 1 species